GUUAUAUGGUCAAGUGAAUAAGUGCAUACGGUGGAUGCCUAGGCGACAAGAGGCGAUGAAGGACGUUGUAGCUUGCGAUAAGCUUCGGGGAGGUAGCAAACAACCUUUGAUCCGAAGAUUUCCGAAUGGGGAAACCCGGCCAUUUUUAAUGGUCACUCCAUACUGAAUACAUAGGUAUGGUAGAGCGAACCUGGGGAACUGAAACAUCUAAGUACCCAGAGGAAAAGAAAUCAACCGAGAUUCCCUUAGUAGCGGCGAGCGAACGGGGAUCAGCCCUUAAGCUCUAUUUGUGUUAGUGGAACAUUCUGGAAAGUUUGGCCAUAGUGGGUGAUAGCCCCGUACACGAAAAUGCAAUUAGAGUGAAAUCGAGUAGGUCGGGACACGUGAUAUCCUGACUGAACAUGGGGGGACCAUCCUCCAAGGCUAAAUACUACUUGUCGACCGAUAGUGAACCAGUACCGUGAGGGAAAGGCGAAAAGAACCCCUAUUAGGGGAGUGAAAUAGAUCCUGAAACCGUAUGCAUACAAGCAGUGGGAGCACCUUCGUGGUGUGACUGCGUACCUUUUGUAUAAUGGGUCAGCGACUUACUUUCAGUGGCAAGCUUAACCGCGUAGGGGAGGCGUAGGGAAACCGAGUCUUAAUAGGGCGAAUUAGUCGCUGGGAGUAGACCCGAAACCGGGCGAUCUAUCCAUGGCCAGGGUGAAGGUGGGGUAAUACCUACUGGAGGCCCGAACCCACUUAUGUUGAAAAAUGAGGGGAUGAGCUGUGGAUCGGAGUGAAAGGCUAAACAAGCCCGGAGAUAGCUGGUUCUCCUCGAAAUCUAUUUAGGUAGAGCCUCGUAUAUCACUGUUGGGGGUAGAGCACUGUUACGGCUAGGGGGUCAUCCCGACUUACCAAACCGUUGCAAACUCCGAAUACCAACAAGUGCAAUUACGGGAGACACACGGCGGGUGAUAAGGUCCGUUGUGGAAAGGGAAACAGCCCAGACCGUCAGCUAAGGUCCCAAAAUGAUACUCAGUGGAAAACGAUGUGAAAAGGCACAGACAGCCAGGAGGUUGGCUUAGAAGCAGCCAUCCUUUAAAGAAAGCGUAAUAGCUCACUGGUCAAGUCGGUUUGCGCGGAAGAUUUAUCGGGGCUUAAGUAUCAUACCGAAGCUACGGAUGCGUGUUUACACGCAUGGUAGAGGAGCGUUCUGUACGCCUGUGAAGGUGAAUCGUAAGGUUUGCUGGAGGUAUCAGAAGUGCGAAUGCUGACAUGAGUAACGAUAAUGGGGGUGAAAAACCCCCACGCCGAAAACCCAAGGUUUCCUGCUCAAUGCUAAUCAGAGCAGGGUUAGUCGGAACCUAAGGCGAGGCCGAAAGGCGUAGUCGAUGGACAACAGGUUAAUAUUCCUGUACCGCUUAUUACUGCGAUGGGGUGACGGAGAAGGCUAGAUCAGCCAGCUGUUGGAUAUGCUGGUUUAAGUAUGUAGGGCGUGUUCUUAGGUAAAUCCGGGAACACAUUAAACCUGAGAUAUGAAUACGAGGAUUCUACGGAAUCCGGAGUGAUUGAUGCCAUGCUUCCAAGAAAACCCUCUAAGCUUCAGGUAAUAAGCGUCCGUACCCCAAACCGACACAGGUGGGUGGGAUGAGAAUUCUAAGGCGCUUGAGAGAACUCUGGUGAAGGAACUAGGCAAAAUGGUACCGUAACUUCGGGAGAAGGUACGCCCUUUAGGUGAAGCGGCUUGCUCGUGGAGCUAAAAAGGGUUGCAAUAAAAUGGUGGCUGCGACUGUUUACUAAAAACAUAGCACUCUGCAAACUCGUAAGAGGACGUAUAGGGUGUGACGCCUGCCCGGUGCCGGAAGGUUAAUUGAUGGGGUUAUCUUCGGAGAAGCUCUUGAUCGAAGCCCCGGUAAACGGCGGCCGUAACUAUAACGGUCCUAAGGUAGCGAAAUUCCUUGUCGGGUAAGUUCCGACCUGCACGAAUGGCGUAACGACGGCCACACUGUCUCCACCAGAGACUCAGUGAAAUUGAAAUUGCGGUUAAGAUGCCGUAUACCCGCGGCUAGACGGAAAGACCCCGUGAACCUUUACUAUAGCUUUGCACUGAACUUUGAACCUAUUUGUGUAGGAUAGGUGGGAGACUUUGAAGCGUGGACGCUAGUCUGCGUGGAGUCACCCUUGAAAUACCACCCUGGUAUGUUUAGAGUUCUAACCUAGGUCCGUUAUCCGGAUCGGGGACAGUGUAUGGUGGGUAGUUUGACUGGGGCGGUCUCCUCCCAAAGAGUAACGGAGGAGCACGAAGGUACCCUAAGGACGGUCGGAAAUCGUCCGCUUAGUGCAAUGGCAUAAGGGUGCUUGACUGCGAGAUAGACACAUCGAGCAGGUGCGAAAGCAGGUCAUAGUGAUCCGGUGGUUCUGUAUGGAAGGGCCAUCGCUCAACGGAUAAAAGGUACUCCGGGGAUAACAGGCUGAUACCGCCCAAGAGUUCAUAUCGACGGCGGUGUUUGGCACCUCGAUGUCGGCUCAUCACAUCCUGGGGCUGUAGCCGGUCCCAAGGGUAUGGCUGUUCGCCAUUUAAAGUGGUACGCGAGCUGGGUUUAGAACGUCGUGAGACAGUUCGGUCCCUAUCUGCCGUGGGCGUUUGAGAAUUGAGGAAAGCUGCUUCUAGUACGAGAGGACCGAAGUGGACGAACCUCUGGUGUUCCGGUUGUCACGCCAGUGGCAUUGCCGGGUAGCUAUGUUCGGACGGGAUAACCGCUGAAAGCAUCUAAGCGGGAAGCCUCUUCUAAGAUUAAUUCUCACUGAUUCUUUAAGAAUCCUGAAGGGCCCUUGUAGACUACAAGGUUGAUAGGCAAGGUGUGGAAGCGCAGUAAUGUGUGAAGCUAACUUGUACUAAUUGCCCGUGAGGCUUGACCAUAUAACACCCAAAAGGGUU
rnacentral:rRNA from 1 species